UUCAUAGCCAUAGACUUGAGGGUUGAGAUACUUGAGAAGAAGAACUGCCGUGAGACAGGUGCAGGGGGAUCCAAAACAUGUUACAACGCGCAAGAGAUUGCAGUGUUCUUGAGGAAGCUUGGGUUUGAUGGUGACACGACUAUAUACCUGACUCAGCCGAGAUGGGAGAGCAGCCUCAACAUUCUCAAAGACAUCUUCCCUAAAACGUUUACUAAGGUGUGUGUGAGAUGAGAUCAUUCAUUCUUUUAGUCUCCUGAAGUGAAUCUUGAUUUUUUUUUUUAUAUAUAUUGUGGCAGGAGGCGAUAAUGCCGGCAGAGAAGAAGUCUAAGUACCUUGAGUUAGAGAACUCAGAGUAUGAAAAUGUUAUUGACUUCUACAUAAGUUCGAGGAGCGAUGUGUUUGUGCCAGCCAUUCCUGGUCUGUUUUACGCAAAUACUGUUGGGAAAAGGAUAGCUUUAGGGAAGCCUCAAGUUCUUGUUCCGGCUGAGAUCUCAGGGACGUCUGGUCUUUCUACUGAUUACAUCUCUCCUUAUAUCUCGAAGAAGAAUCAUUUGGCGUAUUCAUGCUUUUGCUGAACUUUUGUGGUGUAAUUUAUUAUGAGGGAGUUGUUUUGCCAACCAAAUCUAUAAAAGGGUCUUUUCUCACUACGUGUAAGGCAGUUAGUUCCAUACCAAUUUGAUUUUUUAGUAAAAACUGUUGUUGAGUUACAGAGCCUAUAGCUUUUGUAUCCCAUUCAUUUUAUCACCAUUGUCUAGUGGUGAAAGCUGUAGUCAGGAGGAACAUAGAGGAUAUGGCGAGACAUUGUUCGAUUUCAAACAUGUCUGAACAUUAACAACUCUGAAAGGGACAAAGUGUAGCAACAGAAACUAAGAUGAACCAGGAAAGCAAUGGAAAGGUGUUUGGAUCAGGAAGAGAGACUAAAAUGGUGAGAUCACUGAGCUCACGUUGAUCACUGCAUCUCUUGAGAUAUCUCCUCAGCUCUUCCGUGAGUUCAAGCCAUCUCCAGGGAAAGACACUCGUUAAGCUCCAUAACAACCCGGCUCAUGCGUGGUCUUGUAUUAUGUGCACAAGCAAGUGCCAGUUCCUGACUGCUGGAGUGACCCUUUCAGCUUAAGCUUUCCAUGUGCUACUUCAACAGAGAUUUUUUGUCUGCUUUCCAGCUAAGGACUUCCCUGAACUUACUUGCAAACUCAAACAACAAACCGGAACUAGCAUAUGUGGUUCACAUACCAGAUAAAUGAUCAUUCAAGUCUCCAUUUUCCGCAAACUCGUAGAUUAAAGCCAAGUGCGCAUCUUCAUUGCAAUAUCCAAUGAGGCUCACCAAGUUCUUGUGACGAAUCCUUAACAGGUCUUGAACCUGAUUCGAGCAAUUAACCAAUAAGUCAACAUGGGAUCAAGACUUUGAUUGUGUUCAAACGCAAUGCCUGCUUUCCAUCAAGCAAAAACUCUAAGUUGACAUUCUUGGAACAUAUAAUAUUGUGUAGUAUCCAAAGCUACCUGUUGUUGGUCCCUCAUAACUCCAUGUCUUGCGGCCAAGAUAAUGCACUCAGACCUUGAUCACAAGCAACUUUUACAGGAAAGCUUCUGAGCCUAGAGGAUUCAGAAGAUGUUAAGAUAUCUGAAAUCUUCCACUGUGAAGGUUUAUUGUUAUGUGCGACCAAAGACAAUAGACUGGUGGUUUGGAACCAUUGUACUGGUCAAACCAGGUGGAUCCAACCAAGACUACAUUGUAACGGUUACACCAUGUACUAUAAGUAUUUUCUAGGAUAUGGAAACAAGAAGAACAAAUCAUGUGAUGGCUUCAAAAUGUUAAGGUUUGAUGAUUCUGAAGUGGGUGGUGUUUUAUCCCACUGGGUUCUAUCAGUUGUCAGAGAAGAGAAACUUUCCUUGUUACUUGAGAAAUCCGUUCAUUAUAAACCAUUAGAGAUGAAGAUAUGGGUGACCAAUACCAAGGCUGAUGAUGAGGCCAAAGACUUGUCGUGGAGCGUGUUCUUAGUAGUGGAUUUCACUAAAGUUACACAAGGUAUGACGAGGGUAAUGAGUUUCUUGGUGGACGAGGAGAAUAAAAGGGUCAUGUGUUGUCAUCAAGAAGACUGUGAAGAUCAAGAGAGGACCCAUCAUUUACGAUGCUGGAGAAGAUAUGUAUAAACCAGUCUCUGUCAGAGUUUAGAGAAACUCACUAUGACAGGACAAGGAAACGCCCUAGUCCACUUCUCCUCAGUUAUGUUCCAAGUUUUGGUGACCUUACUACUUUCAUUAUUGUGGUAAAGUUCAGACCCGUCCGUGGUAGUUAACAUGGUUCACUUCACAUUGGGGCAACGCUUACACUAUUUUGGUUAGCUCUUAAAUAAAGUUAGUUGUCUUUUAACAUACUGCAAAAUUACAUCAGGCUAUCAUAGUAUAGAGACCAAUGCAACAACAGUUCUACCAAGAAGCAUUUUUGUAUCAGGAAAAAAAAAAGAUAACCAAACAUGGCAGAGCAUUAUAACCUAUAUUAUUACAUUGUCACUGAUCAAAUCCAGAUAAACCUAAACCGAAUCAGAUUCUCUUAAAGGAAAUGAUAAAGCUACAUAGCACCCGAGAGAUGAUCAAGACUCUGUUUGAGAUCUUUCUCUUGCGUGUAAUGGCAAAGAGCCCAGAGUGUUUUUCUCACUGUGAGUUGCUUAUGUCAUUGGCUACUGUUACCAUCAUUUGAUCAGCCUCAAGAUUUGCCUCCUCCUGCAUGUUGCUUACUUCAUUAUUUACUUGAAGAUUUUGGGAUGUUUGAGGAGCUCCUCUGGAUAAGUCUCUAAGAGCACCCUAAACAUUAUAAGUCUUGUCAUUACACAGAAACAUCAAUGAAUCAAAAGAGCUAUAAAAUGAGUAAGACAGAGAGAGAGUUGAUCAGUUAAGCAUCAAGUGUUAGCUUGCCUUGUUUGCCCACAUAAGUCCACAUGCGUUGCAAAGUGUUCUUGGCCCUUCAGGUCCACGCCUCAUCAUUGGAGUUGACUUCUCCCCGAUUCCACAGUGCCGACAUCUUUACAGGUUCCAGAUAGGGAUGUUGCAUUGAUGUUAAAGACUCAGACUUUGGAGAGAAUUAUUAUGAAAGCUUCAACCCUUUUUGUUCUUUGUGCUUUUUUGCAGGUUCAAGGAGAUGCACAUGAUAUUGAGUUCCAUGGAUCAAAAGUAUCUCUUGAAAAUGGACUUGUUAGAUCCAGUGAAGGGAAUAAUGGGCCUUGGAUGGAGGAUAGCAAUGAUCUUAAACCUUGUUGGUCAAUAUCUGAAUCUGGUAUUUAGACCAGUUUUGUCUUUUUGGUUUAAAUCUUCUGUGUUUUUUCUUUUCUUAAAUCUUUUUUGCUUCAAUGUUUCUCGUUUUGUAGAUGAAGCUGUAUCUUCAAAGGGUUAUGUUACAUUCUCCUUAACCAAUGGUCCUGAGUACCAUGUCUCUCAGGUAUCCUUUAAAAGUUUUUGCCUUUUGUUUGUUUCUAUGUUGUUUAACUUUAUCAUCAUCAUCUUUAGAUUACUGAUGCUGUGAUGGUGGCUAAGCAUCUUGGAGCAACGCUUGUGCUCCCUGACAUAAGAGGAAGCAAACCUGGUGAUGAAAUGUUAGUUAGUUUCUGUAUUUUUCACAAACAUUAUGGUUUUAGCCAGUUUGGUUUUCUGAGUGGUUUAUGAAUGUUACACAGGAACUUUGAAGACAUCUAUAACGUAGAUAAACUCGUCAAAAGCCUCGAAAGCGUCAUCAAAGUUGUGAAGAAGCUGCCAAGCCACGUUUCUCUAAGAGACAUCGCCAUUGUCAAGGUCCCCACCAGAGUUGCAGAAGACUACAUCAAGGAGCACAUCAGCCCCAUCUUCAAAUCAAAAGGAAACAUCAGAGUCACAACCUACUUCCCUUCUGUGAAUCUGAGGAAGUCUUCUCUGGAUGGUGGUGAGACAGACCCUGUCUCUUGUCUGGCUAUGUUUGGCUCCUUGGAGCUGCAGCCUGGAGUGAAUGAACUGGUGGAGGCCAUGAUCCAGAGGCUCAAGAAGAAAUCUAAUGGUCGGUUCAUAGCCAUAGACUUGAGGGUUGAGAUACUUGAGAAGAAGAACUGCCGUGAGACAGGUGCAGGGGGAUCCAAAACAUGUUACAACGCGCAAGAGAUUGCAGUGUUCUUGAGGAAGCUUGGGUUUGAUGGUGACACGACUAUAUACCUGACUCAGCCGAGAUGGGAGAGCAGCCUCAACAUUCUCAAAGACAUCUUCCCUAAAACGUUUACUAAGGUGUGUGUGAGAUGAGAUCAUUCAUUCUUUUAGUCUCCUGAAGUGAAUCUUGAUUUUUUUUUUUAUAUAUAUUGUGGCAGGAGGCGAUAAUGCCGGCAGAGAAGAAGUCUAAGUACCUUGAGUUAGAGAACUCAGAGUAUGAAAAUGUUAUUGACUUCUACAUAAGUUCGAGGAGCGAUGUGUUUGUGCCAGCCAUUCCUGGUCUGUUUUACGCAAAUACUGUUGGGAAAAGGAUAGCUU
rnacentral:lncRNA from 1 species